rnacentral:tRNA from 1 species
GGUCCGUUCGUCUAGGGGUUAGGACACCAGAUUUUCAUUCUGGCAACACGGGUUCGAUUCCCGUACGGACUACAA